UCCAAAGUCAGCAGGAGGAAGUAGAAAUGAGACAGAGGCCUCUGUCUCCUAAUCUUUUCCAUAGGCUACUGUUUUCUUUCUUUUCUCAUGAGGAAAAAUGAUAAAAGCAAAAUAAACAAAUUAGCUACCACUUAUGAAAAUCCCCAGGAAAUUCCUUUUCCAGAGUUCUCACUUACUAAUUUGGCUAACAUUACCAAUGGUAACAGACCCCACGUAUCCGCCACAAUUGCUGUGAGUUGCAGAGGAAAAAGACUGGGAGGAAAUCUUCACUUUUCUUCUGCAACAGCAACCAACAGAAAUGAAAGAGCCAGGGGAUUUUGCAAAAUAUCAACUCCUGAGAACUAAGAAUGAGAGCCUUUCCUGCCAAGCCCAUUCUGUGCCAGUCAUCAUAAAAUACUAUGACCCUUCCUUCCAGAAGAACAAUGCGCUGUGAUCUUUGGCUACUCAAGCUUUACAUCAUCCAUAUUACCCUGCAGCAGGAACAGAUUGAUGGGGAUUCUAUAGCACAUCCUUGAAUUGUGUUUAUCCAAUCCACAUUUCUCUUCUGCUGGACAUUCAGAGGACUGUUUCUCACUAAUAUCAGGAGAAAUCUGUCUUGGUGUUGGAGCCUCUUGGAAUUCGUGACAAGGAAAAAAGUACACCAAGUAAACUAGUAAAACAAAAGUGAGAAGGCCCUUGACAGAUGUGAGCCCCUUGACCUUGGACUUCCCAGCCUCAAGAACCACAAGCCAAAUAAAUUUCUGUUCAUUAUACAUUACCUAGUCUCUGGAAUUCUGUUAUAAGCAGCACAAAACUGACUAAGACAAGUAAUUUUAAUUUUUAAGGUACUCUCUCUUAAAUUUCAAAAAAUGGCCAUAAGGUUUUUAAGCCCAUGGGCUUUGGUAUCAAACAGAUGUAGGUUCAGUCUCAGAUUUGUCAUUUAUUAAUCAUGAUUUUGGAAAAUUACUUAAUAGAUGUACAUUCCAGUUUCU
rnacentral:lncRNA from 1 species